GAGACUGCCGUCCUGUUUAUCCACAGAACAGGUACAGCAUUGGCAGGGGCAUGCUCCCCCACACUGUCCUGCCAAUGUGCCUCAGCCCUGACGUGGAGGUGCCAGGACAAACUGGGCCAUGUUUAUUUGUGGCACCU
rnacentral:sRNA from 1 species